UUAAGCGACUAAGCGUACACGGUGGAUGCCCUGGCAGUCAGAGGCGAUGAAGGACGUGCUAAUCUGCGAAAAGCGUCGGUAAGGUGAUAUGAACCGUUAUAACCGGCGAUGUCCGAAUGGGGAAACCCAGUGCAAUUCGUUGCACUAUCGUUAACUGAAUACAUAGGUUAACGAGGCGAACCGGGGGAACUGAAACAUCUAAGUACCCCGAGGAAAAGAAAUCAACCGAGAUUCCCCCAGUAGCGGCGAGCGAACGGGGAGCAGCCCAGAGUCUGAAUCAGCUUGUGUGUUAGUGGAACGGUCUGGAAAGUCCGACGGUACAGGGUGAUAGUCCCGUACACCAAAAUGCACAGGCUGUGAACUCGAAGAGUAGGGCGGGACACGUGGUAUCCUGUCUGAAUAUGGGGGGACCAUCCUCCAAGGCUAAAUACUCCUGACUGACCGAUAGUGAACCAGUACCGUGAGGGAAAGGCGAAAAGAACCCCGGCGAGGGGAGUGAAAAAGAACCUGAAACCGUGUACGUACAAGCAGUGGGAGCACCUUCGGGUGUGACUGCGUACCUUUUGUAUAAUGGGUCAGCGACUUAUAUUCUGUAGCAAGGUUAACCGUAUAGGGGAGCCGCAGGGAAACCGAGUCUUAACUGGGCGUUAAGUUGCAGGGUAUAGACCCGAAACCCGGUGAUCUAGCCAUGGGCAGGUUGAAGGUUGGGUAACACUAACUGGAGGACCGAACCGACUAAUGUUGAAAAAUUAGCGGAUGACUUGUGGCUGGGGGUGAAAGGCCAAUCAAACCGGGAGAUAGCUGGUUCUCCCCGAAAGCUAUUUAGGUAGCGCCUCGUGAAUUCAUCUUCGGGGGUAGAGCACUGUUUCGGCUAGGGGGUCAUCCCGACUUACCAACCCGAUGCAAACUACGAAUACCGAAGAAUGUUAUCACGGGAGACACACGGCGGGUGCUAACGUCCGUCGUGAAGAGGGAAACAACCCAGACCGCCAGCUAAGGUCCCAAAGUCAUGGUUAAGUGGGAAACGAUGUGGGAAGGCACAGACAGCCAGGAUGUUGGCUUAGAAGCAGCCAUCAUUUAAAGAAAGCGUAAUAGCUCACUGGUCGAGUCGGCCUGCGCGGAAGAUGUAACGGGGCUAAACCAUGCACCGAAGCUGCGGCAGCGACACUAUGUGUUGUUGGGUAGGGGAGCGUUCUGUAAGCCUGCGAAGGUGACCUGUGAGGGUUGCUGGAGGUAUCAGAAGUGCGAAUGCUGACAUAAGUAACGAUAAAGCGGGUGAAAAGCCCGCUCGCCGGAAGACCAAGGGUUCCUGUCCAACGUUAAUCGGGGCAGGGUGAGUCGACCCCUAAGGCGAGGCCGAAAGGCGUAGUCGAUGGGAAACAGGUUAAUAUUCCUGUACUUGGUGUUACUGCGAAGGGGGGACGGAGAAGGCUAUGUUAGCCGGGCGACGGUUGUCCCGGUUUAAGCAUGUAGGCUGGUUAUCCAGGCAAAUCCGGAUAAUCAAGGCUGAGGUGUGAUGACGAGGCACUACGGUGCUGAAGUAACAAAUGCCCUGCUUCCAGGAAAAGCCUCUAAGCAUCAGGUAACAUCAAAUCGUACCCCAAACCGACACAGGUGGUCAGGUAGAGAAUACCAAGGCGCUUGAGAGAACUCGGGUGAAGGAACUAGGCAAAAUGGUGCCGUAACUUCGGGAGAAGGCACGCUGGUGUGUAGGUGAAGCCCCUGCGGGUGGAGCUGAGACCAGUCGAAGAUACCAGCUGGCUGCAACUGUUUAUUAAAAACACAGCACUGUGCAAACACGAAAGUGGACGUAUACGGUGUGACGCCUGCCCGGUGCCGGAAGGUUAAUUGAUGGGGUUAUCCGUAAGGAGAAGCUCUUGAUCGAAGCCCCGGUAAACGGCGGCCGUAACUAUAACGGUCCUAAGGUAGCGAAAUUCCUUGUCGGGUAAGUUCCGACCUGCACGAAUGGCGUAAUGAUGGCCAGGCUGUCUCCACCCGAGACUCAGUGAAAUUGAACUCGCUGUGAAGAUGCAGUGUACCCGCGGCAAGACGGAAAGACCCCGUGAACCUUUACUAUAGCUUGACACUGAACAUUGAGCCUUGAUGUGUAGGAUAGGUGGGAGGCUUUGAAGCGUGGACGCCAGUCUGCGUGGAGCCAACCUUGAAAUACCACCCUUUAAUGUUUGAUGUUCUAACGUUGGCCCCUGACCGGGGUUGCGGACAGUGUCUGGUGGGUAGUUUGACUGGGGCGGUCUCCUCCCAAAGCGUAACGGAGGAGCACGAAGGUUAGCUAAUCCUGGUCGGACAUCAGGAGGUUAGUGCAAUGGCAUAAGCUAGCUUGACUGCGAGCGUGACGGCGCGAGCAGGUGCGAAAGCAGGUCAUAGUGAUCCGGUGGUUCUGAAUGGAAGGGCCAUCGCUCAACGGAUAAAAGGUACUCCGGGGAUAACAGGCUGAUACCGCCCAAGAGUUCAUAUCGACGGCGGUGUUUGGCACCUCGAUGUCGGCUCAUCACAUCCUGGGGCUGAAGUAGGUCCCAAGGGUAUGGCUGUUCGCCAUUUAAAGUGGUACGCGAGCUGGGUUUAGAACGUCGUGAGACAGUUCGGUCCCUAUCUGCCGUGGGCGCUGGAGAAUUGAGGGGGGCUGCUCCUAGUACGAGAGGACCGGAGUGGACGCAUCACUGGUGUUCGGGUUGUCAUGCCAAUGGCACUGCCCGGUAGCUAAAUGCGGAAGAGAUAAGUGCUGAAAGCAUCUAAGCACGAAACUUGCCCCGAGAUGAGUUCUCCCUGAGACUUUAAGUCUCCUGAAGGAACGUUGAAGACGAUGACGUUGAUAGGCCGGGUGUGUAAGCGCAGCGAUGCGUUGAGCUAACCGGUACUAAUGAACCGUGAGGCUUAACCUU
rnacentral:rRNA from 1 species